rnacentral:lncRNA from 1 species
CACACAUCAAGAAAAACUACUGGGCAGCCCAGGGCUUUUCCUGGUCAAAGAGCUGGAUUCUUUCACGCAAGGCAUUCCUAGGACUGCUCAGCUUGCCCGAAGUGGAGAUGCAAAUGGGUGAGAGAGGAGAAGAACACAGCAGUUAGCGAGACCAAGGGAAUAUUCACACUGGAAACACUGUCUGCCACACACUCCCGUCAACGUGCCUUCUGGGUGCCUGGCUUCAUUUCUGCAAAGCUAUAGCAUGUGGACCAAGCAGACAGAGGCAUGGGCCACCCACUCUCAGAGAUGUGGGAAAAUGAAUCGGAAUAACAAGAGAAAAUGAUUCCAAACAGAAGAGGAAAGUGACGAUGUGAUGAAAAGGAAAAGAGAUUGGGAUUUGAUGGAGAGUCACAAAGUCACAAUGAUGCGCUCUUUUUUAAUGGAUGAGGAAACUGGAGCUCAGGGUUUGAGUCACUGACCUAAGUGAUCACCAACUGCUGUGGCUCAGGUAAGUGUCACCCAAAGGCCCAUGUGCCAAAGGAUUGGUCACCUGGUUGGUGCUGUCGGGAGGUGGGGGGAUGUUGUAGCUUAUAUCUAGAUGUUUCCCCAAAG